rnacentral:rRNA from 1 species
GACGAACGCUGGCGGCGUGCCUAAUACAUGCAAGUUGAGCGAACAUUUGAGAGCUUGCUCUCAAAUGUUAGCGGCGGACGGGUGAGUAACACGUGGGCAACCUGCCUAUAAGACUGGGAUAACUUCGGGAAACCGGAGCUAAUACCGGAUAAUUCACAUCUACUCAUGUAGAUGUGCUGAAAGACGGUUUACGCUGUCACUUAUAGAUGGGCCCGCGGCGCAUUAGCUAGUUGGUGAGGUAACGGCUCACCAAGGCCACGAUGCGUAGCCGACCUGAGAGGGUGAUCGGCCACACUGGGACUGAGACACGGCCCAGACUCCUACGGGAGGCAGCAGUAGGGAAUCUUCCGCAAUGGACGAAAGUCUGACGGAGCAACGCCGCGUGAGUGAUG